rnacentral:rRNA from 1 species
AAGGAUUCCCUAGUAACUGCGAGUGAAGAGGGAAAAGCUCAAAUUUAAAAUCUGGCAGCUUCGCUGUCCGAGUUGUAAUUUAGAGAAGUGUUACCCGUGUUGGACCGUGUAUAAGUCUCCUGGAAUGGAGCGUCAUAGAGGGUGAGAAUCCCGUCUUUGACACGGACUACCAAUGCAUUGUGGUGCGCUCUCGAAGAGUCGAGUUGUUUGGGAAUGCAGCUCUAAAUGGGUGGUAAAUUCCAUCUAAAGCUAAAUAUUGGCGAGAGACCGAUAGCGAACAAGUACCGUGAGGGAAAGAUGAAAAGAACUUUGGAAAGAGAGUUAAACAGUACGUGAAAUUGCUGAAAGGGAAACGCUUGAAGUCAGUCGCGUUGGCCGGGGAUCAGCCUUGCUUUUGUGAGGUGUACUUCCUGGUUGACGGGUCAGCAUCAGUUUCGACCAUUGGAAAAAGACUUGGGGAAUGUGGCAACUUCGGUUGUGUUAUAGCCCUUUGUCGUAUACAGUGAUUGGGACUGAGGAACUCAGCACGCCGCAAGGCCGGGUUUCGACCACGUUCGUGCUUAGGAUGCUGGCAAAAUGGCUUUAAUCGACCCGUCUUGAAACACGGACCAAGGAGUCUAACAUGCUUGCGAGUGUUUGGGUGGAAAACCCGAGCGCGUAAUGAAAGUGAAAGUUGGGAUCUCUGUCGUGGAGAGCACCGACGCCCGGACCAGAAGUUUACUGACGGAUCUGCGGUAGAGCACGUAUGUUGGGACCCGAAAGAUGGUGAACUAUGCCUGAAUAGGGUGAAGCCAGAGGAAACUCUGGUGGAGGCUCGUAGCGAUUCUGACGUGCAA